rnacentral:tRNA from 1 species
CGGUGUAUAGCUCAGUUUGGUAGAGCACUUGGUUUGGGACCAAGGGGUCAGACGUUCAAGUCGUCUUACACCGACCA